UAUUCCAUUCCUUCAGAGGAGGUUCUUGGACAAUACAUAAGUGACUGCCUGAGAAGUCCAGAAACUCUUCCAGAAAAACGGCCAUCACCUCUUCAUAUUUUCAUCAGCUGUAGAACUGACCCAUAGGCUGCCAUUGUUACCACAGCUUCCAGGUAUGACAUCCAAGCAGGAAGCAGCUAUCUGUGUAUAAGCUGUCAAUCUGCUAUGCUGGUCUCCAG
rnacentral:lncRNA from 1 species